AACGCUAGCUACAGGCUUAACACAUGCAAGUCGAGGGGCAGCGCAGUGUAGCAAUACAUGGGCGGCGACCGGCGCACGGGUGCGUAACGCGUAUCCAACCUUCCCGUUACUCAGGGAUAGCCUUCCGAAAGGGAGAUUAAUACCUGAUGGUGUUUGAAUUCCGCAUGUUAUUCAAACUAAAGAUUUAUCGGUAACGGAUGGGGAUGCGUGACAUUAGAUAGUAGGCGGGGUAACGGCCCACCUAGUCUACGAUGUCUAGGGGUUCUGAGAGGAAGGUCCCCCACACUGGAACUGAGACACGGUCCAGACUCCUACGGGAGGCAGCAGUGAGGAAUAUUGGUCAAUGGUCGGAAGACUGAACCAGCCAAGUAGCGUGAAGGAUGAAGGUUCUAUGGAUUGUAAACUUCUUUUAUACGGGAAUAAAACCUCCCACGUGUGGGAGCUUGUAUGUACCGUAUGAAUAAGCAUCGGCUAACUCCGUGCCAGCAGCCGCGGUAAUACGGAGGAUGCGAGCGUUAUCCGGAUUUAUUGGGUUUAAAGGGAGCGUAGACGGGAGAUUAAGUCAGUUGUGAAAGGCUGCGGCUCAACCGCAGCACUGCAGUUGAUACUGGUUUCCUUGAGUGCGGUUGAGGUGUAUGGAAUUCGUGGUGUAGCGGUGAAAUGCUUAGAUAUCACGAAGAACUCCGAUUG
rnacentral:rRNA from 1 species